GUGGUCCGGCAGCAAUUGUCACACGUGCAAAACGAGCCUCAUCUCUUGGAACUGACAACUCCAGUCUCCCAGCACAAGAAAAACAUAGACAUUAAACUUUCACACACAUUCUCUCUCUCUCUCUCUCUCUCUCACACACACACACUCUCUCUCUGCUAUUGUUAAUGGCGAUGAUAUAAAGGAAUUAGGGUUCGAGUUAGGGAGAGAGAACAAAGGAAAUUAUUUGAUUUGCUAUCAAAAUGUAUUCUUUAACAGUGAAACCCUUCUUAGUUCCUCAACCUCAAUUUGCUUCUUCUUCGUCUUCGUCUUCUUCGCAUUGCUCGCAUCGUUGGAGCUCUGUAAUUAACUUCCCCACGAUAAGGACCAAGCACAGUGGAGGAAGAAGAUUUGCUCUCACAAUUCACGCUUAUGAUUCUUCCAAGAACCAAGCUCCCAACGGCUCCGGCGAUUCCAAGCCUCCCAACGGAGCUAUGCCAAAGCCCAGAAGAGAAAUUCUAUUGGAGUAUGUCAAAAAUGUGCAGCCAGAAUUUAUGGAGAUGUUUGUGAAGAGAGCACCUCAACAGGUAGUUGAUGCUAUGCGCCAAACAGUGACAAAUAUGAUUGGAACACUUCCACCACAAUUUUUUGCAGUAACAGUUACCACUGUUGCUGAAAACCUUGCGCAGCUAAUGUACAGUGUCAUGAUGACUGGAUACAUGUUUAAGAAUGCACAAUACCGAUUGGAACUACAACAAAGCUUGGAGCAGGUUGCCCUUCCUGAUGCACAAGAUAAAAAGGAUGCGCCAGAUUAUGCACCCGGUACACAGAAGAAUGUGUCAGGUGAAGUUAUUAGGUGGAAUAAUGUCUCAGGUCCUGAGAAAAUUGAUGCUAAAAAGUACAUAGAGUUACUUGAAGCUGAGGUUGAGGAACUAAAUCGUCAAGUUGGUAGAAAAUCAUUAAAUGGGCAAAAUGAAUUGUUGGAAUAUCUCAAGUCUCUUGAGCCCCAGAAUCUGAAGGAUUUGACAAGUAGUGCUGGAGAGGAUGUUGUGCUUGCAAUGAACACAUUCAUAAAGCGCCUUCUGGCUGUUUCGGAUCCUAGCCAAAUGAAGGUUUGCUACGAUCUUUUCCACAAGGUUUAAAUUCCAGUUUAUCCUCUUGUAACGAAGGAAUUCACAGAAAUUCUCCAAGAUACUGGUGUUGCAAUAUGACAAGUGCAACAGAGACUAGUGCACCAGAACUUGCCAAGCUUCUUUAUUGGCUGAUGGUGGUCGGCUACAGCAUUCGUAACAUCGAAGUCCGUUUUGAUAUGGAACGAGUGCUUGGGACUACCCCAAAGCUCGCAGAAUUGCCUCCAGGGGAAAAUGUUUAAAUUACUGUGGAUGGAAUUGCAAAGAACAGAAGUUAAGGUGCUGUUGGAGCAAAGUGUUCUUCAUUUUAAACUGAAGGAUCAAUCCAUGGAUGAUUUACUUCUGGUUGAGAAGGAAAAAUUUUAACUUGCCACGGAGUAGGCUUUCCCAAAUCUUAAUAGUCAAAAUGAUUGAUAAUGUUAAUUCAAAAGCCAAGAUAUAUUUGUAGGCACAUCUAGCGAAAUCCCCGUAUGUACUUUGUCUCAAACAUGCAUCUUUUCAAUUAUUUUAUAGCUAUCAAGAGAGUCUGGAGUUCUUGGAUUAUUUUA